AAGGGUUAGGUUGUGAUCCAUAGAAAGACCAGUAAGGGUGAAAAUAACAAUAGAAGGGAAAUGGGGAACCAAAGUAGAGUUAGGAUUGAUCAAGUCUAGGGUAGUUAGGAGUUGUGUCUAAAAAUAUAGGAAAGUCAAGAUUAUAAUAAAACGUACUUAACCGAACAGUUUGGUAAAAUUUGAUUCACCUAAUUUUCUUGUAAGUCUGAUUGUCUUGUUUUGGGACUCGAUCAAAAUGCAAGUGUUGGUAUUUGGGUUCCAGGUUAGAACUAAUGUUUAGUAUUUUUGUAUUGGAAAACUGAACCGUUGGAUUCAUGUAUGGCGACUGGAGAGAUUGAAUGAUUGCAUUCAUUGAUUGAUUGACGUCCCCACUCGUGAUUUUGGUCAAUG
rnacentral:lncRNA from 1 species